GGACAGUGACAAAUUGAAGUGAAAGGUCUCAUUUGUUGUAAUUGGCUUAAGCCCUGCCGACCAUCCUGAAUUCCUGAUAUAUCAUCACCCAUAUUCUGAGUCC